rnacentral:lncRNA from 1 species
UAUAAGUUAUCUACGUUCAUAUCCGUAGAUAUGGAUAUUUUAACACCCUGAAGUACCCCAGUACACCAUGAGGCGUAGCCGAAGGGUGUACAGGGUACUGAAGGGUGUUAAAAUAUCCAUAUCUACGGAUAUGAACGUAGAUAACGAAUUUAUCCCUGGUCUUAGUCCGAAUCGGGCGAGUUUUAUGGAAAUUCGGGUACAAAGUGUAACGUGAAAACAACGUUUUUUUCAUUAUCUAAAAAAGAUUUACUGAAAUUUGGAAAUUUUACAUAUUUUUUACUACCUUUGGUAGAACCCUACAGGUAGUCAAAUAUAAGACGUUUUUAAUACGGAGACAGAGAAACUGGAUUGAGUCAAAUUUGGCGCUCAAUGUUGUGAAUGUUACGCCAUAGAUGGUGUGACGUCAACGUGGGUCAUUUGCAUAGCUAGGUCAGUAGUCCCAUUCCUUGAAAAUGUGACAGUCAAGUGCUGCAUUUAAUGAAAUGAGUGUAAAUGAUCGGCAUAUUAGGACAAAAUCGUUAAUGAAUUAAAUAUUUAAUUACAAACAUCAUGGAUAAUCUACACAAUUCAAUAUUUCACAAAGAGCAAUCAUGGAAC